rnacentral:rRNA from 1 species
CCUACGGGUGGCAGCAGUGAGGAAUAUUGGUCAAUGGGCGGGAGCCUGAACCAGCCAAGCCGCGUGAAGGAAGACGGUCCAGCGUAUCGUAAACCUCUUUUGUCAGGGAACAAAGUCCGGUACUUGUCCCCCUAUGCAUGUACCUUACGAAAAAGCAUCGGCUAACUCCGUGCCAGCAGCCGCGGUAAUACGGAGGAUCCGAGCGUUAUCCGGAUUUAUUGGGUUUAAGGGGUGCGCAGGGGGCUUGUUAAGUCCGUGGGAAAAGCCCGGGGCUCAACCCCGGCGUGCCGUUGAAACUGGCGGGCUGGAGUGGGAGAGAGGUAGGCGGAAUGCGUGGUGUAGCGGUGAAAUGCUUAGAUAUCGCGCAGAACCCCGAUUGCGAAGGCAGCGUGCCGGA